rnacentral:misc_RNA from 1 species
GGAAGUAAAAGACGUAACAAGGUCUCCGUUGGUGAACCAGCGGAGGGAUCAUUACAGAGUUGCAAAACUCCCAAACCAUUGUGAACGUUACCUAUCCCGUUGCUUCGGCGGGCGGCCCGGGCCCCGCGCCCGGCGCCCCCCGGCCCCCCGUGGGCGCCCGCCGGAGGUAAACCAAACCCUUGAAUUGCAUGGCCUCUCUGAGUCUUCUGUACUGAAUAAGUCAAAACUUUCAACAACGGAUCUCUUGGUUCUG